GGGGUCGUAGGUCAGCGGAAGACCACCGCCCUUGCGAGGCGGAAGCCGAGGGUUCAAAUCCCUCCGACUCCA
rnacentral:tRNA from 1 species